rnacentral:lncRNA from 1 species
AAUAGUUUCAAAUAAUACAACUUAGCCUUCAACAGUAUAACUUAAUCUCAUUACCAACUAGCUUGCAGUACAACUUAGUCAGACAUAGAGGAGGUCUCCUUUAAAAAUAUGUAUAAAAAAACUUAUUUGAACUAUAAACUAUUUUGGAUCGACUAUCCAACAUUUCAAAAUUUUGAUUUUACUAUUCAAUCUUUCAAUUUGUUUAAUUUGAGUCAGUUAAUAAUACUUUGACUUUAAAAUUUAUGCUAAUUACUUAUUUUAAUAAAUUUAUAGUUGAAAUAAUUGCAUGAAAUAUAUUAACUAAAUCUGUAAGUAUAAAUGACAUAUUCAUAAAAAUUUUAAAAAAUCAGAGGGAUAAAGUGCAAAAGUGGAUAGAUGAGAUUUUUCUACAUUUUAAGACUUCGUUUGGUAUUGCGGAAAAAUUACGUUACGUACGAUGAGAAAAUAUAAUGAGAAAUACCAUAUUUGUUCUCGUACGUAAUAUUGCAUUCUGCAUAUUAGAUGAAUUAAUUAUGAUAUAUUCUCUGACCUCAAUACCAAACUAAACCUAAGCCCUUGAAAAUCUAAUGCUCGAAUACGAGAGAAA